rnacentral:rRNA from 1 species
GGGUUGUGAGGUUAAGCGACUAAGCGUACACGGUGGAUGCCCUGGCAGUCAGAGGCGAUGAAGGGCGUGCUAAUCUGCGAUAAGCGCCGGUAAGGUGAUAUGAACCGUUAUAACCGGCGAUACCCGAAUGGGGAAACCCAGUGUGAUUCGUCACACUAUCAUUACGUGAAUACAUAGCGUAAUGAAGCGAACCGGGGGAACUGAAACAUCUAAGUACCCCGAGGAAAAGAAAUCAACCGAGAUUCCCCCAGUAGCGGCGAGCGAACGGGGAGGAGCCCAGAGCCUGAAUCAGCAUGUGUGUUAGUGGAAGCGUCUGGAAAGGCGCGCGAUACAGGGUGACAGCCCCGUACACAAAAGCGCAUGUGUUGUGAGCUCGAUGAGUAGGGCGGGACACGUGGUAUCCUGUCUGAAUAUGGGGGGACCAUCCUCCAAGGCUAAAUACUCCUGACUGACCGAUAGUGAACCAGUACCGUGAGGGAAAGGCGAAAAGAACCCCGGCGAGGGGAGUGAAAAAGAACCUGAAACCGUGUACGUACAAGCAGUGGGAGCACCCUUUGGGGUGUGACUGCGUACCUUUUGUAUAAUGGGUCAGCGACUUAUAUUCUGUAGCAAGGUUAACCGAAUAGGGGAGCCGGAGGGAAACCGAGUCUUAAUUGGGCGUUAAGUUGCAGGGUAUAGACCCGAAACCCGGUGAUCUAGCCAUGGGCAGGUUGAAGGUUGGGUAACACUAACUGGAGGACCGAACCGACUAAUGUUGAAAAAUUAGCGGAUGACCUGUGGCUGGGGGUGAAAGGCCAAUCAAACCGGGAGAUAGCUGGUUCUCCCCGAAAGCUAUUUAGGUAGCGCCUCGUGAACUCAUCUCCGGGGGUAGAGCACUGUUUCGGCUAGGGGGCCAUCCCGGCUUACCAACCCGAUGCAAACUGCGAAUACCGGAGAAUGUUAUCACGGGAGACACACGGCGGGUGCUAACGUCCGUCGUGAAGAGGGAAACAACCCAGACCGCCAGCUAAGGUCCCAAAGUCAUAGUUAAGUGGGAAACGAUGUGGGAAGGCCCAGACAGCCAGGAUGUUGGCUUAGAAGCAGCCAUCAUUUAAAGAAAGCGUAAUAGCUCACUGGUCGAGUCGGCCUGCGCGGAAGAUGUAACGGGGCUAAACUAUGCACCGAAGCUGCGGCAGCGACACUAUGUGUUGUUGGGUAGGGGAGCGUUCUGUAAGCCUGUGAAGGUGUGUCGUGAGGCAUGCUGGAGGUAUCAGAAGUGCGAAUGCUGACAUAAGUAACGAUAAAGCGGGUGAAAAGCCCGCUCGCCGGAAGACCAAGGGUUCCUGUCCAACGUUAAUCGGGGCAGGGUGAGUCGACCCCUAAGGCGAGGCCGAAAGGCGUAGUCGAUGGGAAACGGGUUAAUAUUCCCGUACUUGGUGUUACUGCGAAGGGGGGACGGAGAAGGCUAUGUUGGCCGGGCGACGGUUGUCCCGGUUUAAGCGUGUAGGUGUGUGUUCCAGGUAAAUCCGGUUCACUUUAACACUGAGGCGUGACGACGAGGCACUACGGUGCUGAAGCAACAAAUGCCCUGCUUCCAGGAAAAGCCUCUAAGCAUCAGGUAACAUCAAAUCGUACCCCAAACCGACACAGGUGGUCAGGUAGAGAAUACCAAGGCGCUUGAGAGAACUCGGGUGAAGGAACUAGGCAAAAUGGUGCCGUAACUUCGGGAGAAGGCACGCUGACACGUAGGUGAAGUGAUUUACUCAUGGAGCUGAAGUCAGUCGAAGAUACCAGCUGGCUGCAACUGUUUAUUAAAAACACAGCACUGUGCAAACACGAAAGUGGACGUAUACGGUGUGACGCCUGCCCGGUGCCGGAAGGUUAAUUGAUGGGGUCAGCGCAAGCGAAGCUCCUGAUCGAAGCCCCGGUAAACGGCGGCCGUAACUAUAACGGUCCUAAGGUAGCGAAAUUCCUUGUCGGGUAAGUUCCGACCUGCACGAAUGGCGUAAUGAUGGCCAGGCUGUCUCCACCCGAGACUCAGUGAAAUUGAACUCGCUGUGAAGAUGCAGUGUACCCGCGGCAAGACGGAAAGACCCCGUGAACCUUUACUAUAGCUUGACACUGAACAUUGAGCCUUGAUGUGUAGGAUAGGUGGGAGGCUUUGAAGCGUGGACGCCAGUCUGCGUGGAGCCGACCUUGAAAUACCACCCUUUAAUGUUUGAUGUUCUAACGUGGACCCGUGAUCCGGGUUGCGGACAGUGUCUGGUGGGUAGUUUGACUGGGGCGGUCUCCUCCUAAAGAGUAACGGAGGAGCACGAAGGUUGGCUAAUCCUGGUCGGACAUCAGGAGGUUAGUGCAAUGGCAUAAGCCAGCUUGACUGCGAGCGUGACGGCGCGAGCAGGUGCGAAAGCAGGUCAUAGUGAUCCGGUGGUUCUGAAUGGAAGGGCCAUCGCUCAACGGAUAAAAGGUACUCCGGGGAUAACAGGCUGAUACCGCCCAAGAGUUCAUAUCGACGGCGGUGUUUGGCACCUCGAUGUCGGCUCAUCACAUCCUGGGGCUGAAGUAGGUCCCAAGGGUAUGGCUGUUCGCCAUUUAAAGUGGUACGCGAGCUGGGUUUAGAACGUCGUGAGACAGUUCGGUCCCUAUCUGCCGUGGGCGCUGGAGAACUGAGGGGGGCUGCUCCUAGUACGAGAGGACCGGAGUGGACGCAUCACUGGUGUUCGGGUUGUCAUGCCAAUGGCACUGCCCGGUAGCUAAAUGCGGAAGAGAUAAGUGCUGAAAGCAUCUAAGCACGAAACUUGCCCCGAGAUGAGUUCUCCCUGAGACUUAAAGUCUCCUGAAGGAACGUUGAAGACGACGACGUUGAUAGGCCGGGUGUGUAAGCGCAGCGAUGCGUUGAGCUAACCGGUACUAAUGAACCGUGAGGCUUAACCUUACAACGCCGAAG